CCUACGGGCGGCAGCAGUGAGGAAUAUUGGUCAAUGGGCGGAAGCCUGAACCAGCCAAGUAGCGUGCGGGAUGAAGGCCCUACGGGUCGUAAACUGCUUUUGUAUGGGGAUAACAUCCUCUAUUUAUGGUGCUUUGCAGGUACCGUGCGAAUAAGGGCCGGCUAAUUCCGUGCCAGCAGCCGCGGUAAUACGGAAGGACCGAGCGUUAUCCGGAUUCAUUGGGUUUAAAGGGAGCGUAGGCGGGUGUUAAAGUCAGCUGGAAAAUCGUGCGGCCCAACCGCACACCGCAGUUGAAACUGGGAGCCUUGAGUACAGAAGAGGCAGGCGGAAUGCGUGGUGUAGCGGUGAAAUGCAUAGAUAUCACGAGGAACCCCGAUUGCGAAGGCAGCCUGCCGGACUGCAACUGACGCUGAGGCUCGAAGGUGCGGGUAUCAAACAGGAUUAGAUACCCCGGUAGUC
rnacentral:rRNA from 1 species